rnacentral:lncRNA from 1 species
CAGGUUUUGUGGCUAUGUUCUCAGAAGUCCCUUCAUGGGCGAAUAGAGCAUUGAUAGAGAGACAACUCUGCUUGCAGCUGCUGGGGGUUCGGCUCUUCCUGUUUUCUAGUCCAGUGCCACACAGUGCUUGGACUUUAUGAAACAGACAAACCCCACCAAUGUAUGACCUUUUUAAACACAUGCUGACCUUGUUCUCCCUUCACAAAUGACAGAUGGGACAGAACAUGCUACUACACUGCUCACUUCGGUAGGCUACAUUAGCACAUACUCCUGCAGAUGUGCGCUACUGAGAUUUCCCCUCUGCCUCAGGAUUUGGACUGAAUGCCCUACGUUGCUGGUGAGUUUUUGGGGGUCCAUCUUGCAGUAUGUCCUCACAGACACACGUUGGACUGGAGUUGUGCUGCUGAUCCCUUCUUGGACAGACUCCAGAAGGUUCUGCAUUUGACAAGUUCUUCUCCUACACAAACGCAGUACGAAAACUACAACAUGCACUGGAAAAUGAAGGGCCAGGCCACUUCACCCUCUGGCUGGCGUGAUGCUUUUCCCUCCACAUAGCAGCCUCAUGCUGACAACAGAGCCAAAGGGCACCUGGCACAGGUCCCAUCAUUCUCCAGCUCCUCAGCAGGGCUCUGUGGCAGGCCUCUGAGAAAGCACGAGUAGAAGCUGUUUGGGUGCCAGUGAGACAGAAGAGUCACGUGUUUUCAUCCUUACACUAUCUCAUUCCUAAAAAUACAGCCUGUACAACUGCUGUCUGCACAUGAUACCUGCAGCACCCCUGCCCCAGUUCCCCUGCCUUGCUGCCUGUGCUUGGCAAAUGCUGCCGCAAACCUACAGUCCGAGACCAAAUGUGUAGCGAUCCUGCUCCCUUCCAUCAUGCCAGCUCUGCAGACAGUAAGAGUAUGUAUGUUUUGAGUUCACCACACAUAUUUUAGGCCACAGUGUGCUCCUGCAAGCCCCUAUUUAUGCUUAUGGGGAAAAGCUCCUGUGGCUAAUGCCCCUUCCCACCCACCCCUCUUCACAGGCACAUGAUUUUAUUGCUUUGUGACUAUGAACGCAAGAAUGAGAACAAAACACCACUGGCUGAGUUGGUUGAGGACACUGACUCAAUUGGCUUCACACAUCUAACACCCUAGUGGAGUCUCACUGCCUUUAAUGGUUACCCUUGCUUGGUGUUUUUGCAGACUCAUCUGAAAUACUUCCUAAUUUUUUUUUGCCAAUGUGGAGCUGUCUGCAGGAGGGACAACAAGUGAACUUUACUUUUAUAGUGACUGCCAAUUAGAAAUUCCUACAUCUACUGCCCGAUAUACAAAGAAUGUCGUUACCAGGAGGGUAAUUUUUGUACAGAUAUAGUCAGGGAAGCCAUUGGCUGCUCCUGAUAAAUGAUUACUAAUAAUAUUUGGGUUUCUGCUGUUUCUGUCUUUAAACUUACAAGUCAGUCAAAAAAA